AGCGAACGCUGGCGGCAGGCUUAACACAUGCAAGUCGAGCGGGCACUUUCGGGUGUCAGCGGCGGACGGGUGAGUAACGCGGGGGAACGUGCCCUCUGGUUCGGAAUAACUCAGGGAAACUUGAGCUAAUACCGGAUACGCCCUUUUGGGGAAAGGCUUGCUGCCGGAGGAUCGGCCCGCGUCUGAUUAGCUAGUUGGUGAGGUAACGGCUCACCAAGGCGACGAUCAGUAGCUGGUCUGAGAGGAUGAUCAGCCACACUGGGACUGAGACACGGCCCAGACUCCUACGGGAAGCAGCAGUGGGGAAUAUUGGACAAUGGGCGCAAGCCUGAUCCAGCCAUGCCGCGUGAGUGAUGAAGGCCUUAGGGUUGUAAAGCUCUUUUAUCCGGGACGAUAAUGACGGUACCGGAGGAAUAAGCCCCGGCUAACUUCGUG
rnacentral:rRNA from 1 species